GGCUCGUUGGUCUAGGGGUAUGAUUCUUGCUUUGAGUGCGAGAGGUCCCGGGUUCAAAUCCCGGAUGAGCCC
rnacentral:tRNA from 1 species